AAUAGAUACCCGGGUAGUCCACGCCGUAAACGAUGGAUACUAGCUGUUUGAGCGCAAGUUUGAGUGGCUAAGCGAAAGUGAUAAGUAUCCCACCUGGGGAGUACGGGCGCAAGCCUGAAACUCAAAGGAAUUGACGGGGGCCCGCACAAGCGGUGGAGCAUGUGGUUUAAUUCGAUGAUACGCGAGGAACCUUACCAGGGCUUAAAUGUAGAUUGACGUAUUUGGAAACAGAUAUUUCUUCGGACAAUUUACAAGGUGCUGCAUGGUUGUCGUCAGCUCGUGCCGUGAGGUGUCAGGUUAAGUCCUAUAACGAGCGCAACCCCUGUUGUUAGUUGCCAGCGAGUAAUGUCGGGAACUCUAGCAAGACUGCCAGUGUAAACUGUGAGGAAGGUGGGGAUGACGUCAAAUCAUCACGGCCCUUACGUCCUGGGCCACACACGUGCUACAAUGGCCGGUACAGAGAGCAGCCACUUAGCGAUAAGGAGCGAAUCUAUAAAGCCGGUCACAGUUCGGAUCGGAGUCUGCAACCCG
rnacentral:rRNA from 1 species